AUGUUGGGAUGGCUACUUCUACGGACUUUGCUGGUCCUUUGGCUGGCGCAUAGUGCGCACCUGAAGAACAAUGGAAAUGGUGGGGGUGUUGGAAGGAUGUUGAUGCCAUCCAAUGGAUAUGGAUACAAGGGAAUUGGUUACAGUGCUGGAGCCGGAGUGCCCAAUGGAAACGGUGCCAAACCCAAUGGUUAUGGUGCUCCUGCAGCUAUGUCCAAUGGAAAUGGUGCUAAACUCAAUGGUUAUUAUGGUGCUCCUGCAGCUGUGCCUAAUGGAAAUGGUGCUAAACCCAAUGGUAAAUUACCCACUUAUCUGCACUAUGUCAUAUCGGAUUUAUUUGUUGAGAUCUGGUACAAUCAUGCAUUUUCUGUAACACUUUGGCAUCCCUGUUGA
rnacentral:lncRNA from 13 species